UACUGAUCUGGCAAGUGAUUCUAAAGUUGGUGGCAAUUUGGAAGCCCCGGCGAAGAUUGAUGUCAGCUUAACGAGAUCACCUGUAUUCAUUGAAAAUGAGGCAUACAACACAAGUACACUGGCGUUGCUUCUUAUUGUCAUGACCAGGUGACGAGUAGCUUUAUGUUCAAGCCACUUGUUAUAGGAGCAUCAAGAUUAUUUUACAGUAUCAUGCGUUUGCACAAUGUCCACGCAUGACACACGAGGUGUCUUCCUGUAAGGUGCUUUCAUUAUGCUGGCGUCACACUCCGCCAUGUGACUUCUUGAAAUCCCAAUAUCAUCAUCACAGUGCAGCGCUUC
rnacentral:lncRNA from 1 species